rnacentral:misc_RNA from 1 species
UUUCCGUAGGUGAACCUGCAGAAGGAUCAUUAUUGUGUCAUCGAGGUUCGAGGGCUGUCGCUUACCCGAAUGGUUGUGCACGCACGAUUUCCCCCCCACACAUCCAUUUAACCCCUAUGUGCACCGCCGCGCGGGUCCCGCUUUUGCUUGUCUGGAGGGGGGCUUCCGUUUUCACACAAACUUUGUAUUCAGUGUAGAAUGUAUUUUUUGUUUUUGCGAUCACGACGUCAAUACAACUUUCAACAACGGACAACUUGGCACCCGCAUCGAUGAAGACGC